UCCGAGUUGACCCCGGCAGUCUCCUAUGAGUCCCCACCAUGAUGUGCUGGCAACAUAGAACGAGGGUUGCGCUCGUUGCGGGACUUAACCCAACAUCUCACGACACGAGCUGACGACAACCAUGCACCACCUGUACACCGCCCUUGCGGACCCCGUAUCUCUACGAGUUUUCGGUGUAUGUCAAGCCUUGGUAAGGUUCUUCGCGUUGCGUCGAAUUAAGCCACAUACUCCGCUGCUUGUGCGGGCCCCCGUCAAUUCCUUUGAGUUUCAGCCUUGCGGCCGUACUCCCCAGGCGGGGCACUUAAUGCGUUAGCGCCGGGUACACAUCGUUUACGGCGUGGACUAC
rnacentral:misc_RNA from 1 species